rnacentral:rRNA from 1 species
AUAUAAAUAAAUUUAUAUUUUAUUUUUAUAUUUAAAUAAAUAAAAUUAUAUAAUAAAAUGAUAAUUGUAGUAAUAAUUUAAAAUUAAUAAAAUUAUUUAUAGUUUAUAAGUAAUGAAAAUGAAAUUUAUUAAAAAAUAAUAAGUAAAAUUAAAUUUGUACCUUUUGUAUCAGGGUUAAUUAAUUUAUUUUAAUAAUUUAAUUAUCUCGAAAAUAAAUGAUCUAAAUAUAUAUAUAUGUAUUAUUUUUGUUGAAUAAAAAAAAUAAAUAUAUAUUUAGAAAUUAAAUGUUUUUCGUAUUUAUUGAUAUCUAGUUUUUUUUUAAAUAAAUUUAAUUUAUAUAUAAAAAUGUAUUAAUAAAAUAAUAAUAUUUUAUUAAUUUUUUUAUAUAAAAAAUUUAUGGGAUAAACUAUAAAUUUAUUUAUAUUAUAAAAUUUAAGUAUUUUAAAAUUAUAAUUUUAAUAUUGAUUUAUAAUUGAAAAAAUUUUAUAAUUUAUUAUUUAUAUUUAAAAAUUAAUUUAAAUAUAAAUAUAUAUAUAUAAUUAUUAAAAAAAAAAUUUUUAAAAUAAUAUAAAUUAUGAUAUAAUGAUUAAAUUAGUAAUAUAAUUAUAUAAAUUGUAUUUAAUAAUAUUUAAUAUUUAUAUAAAUAUAAGGAAUUAGGCAAAAUAAAUAUAUUCACCUGUUUAUCAAAAACAUGUCUUAUUGAAAAUAAUUUUAAGUCAAUCUGCCCAAUGAAUAAAUUAAAUGGCUGCAGUAUAACUGACUGUACAAAGGUAGCAUAAUAAAUUGAUUUUUAAAUGAAAUCUGGAAUGAAAGGAUUAAUGAAAUAUAUACUGUCUCAUAUUUAUUUUAUGAAUUUAAAAUUUUAAUAAAAAUGUUAAAAUUUUUUUAUGGGACGAUAAGACCCUAUAGAAUUUUAUAUUAAUUUAAUUUUGUAUUAUAAAAUAUAAAAUUUAAUUUAAUAUUUAAUUGGGAGAAUUAUUAAAUUUAAUAAAUUUUAAUUUAAUAUAAACUUUAAUUUAAGAAAAUAUUUUGAUCUAUAAUUUAUAAUUAUUAGAUUAAAUUACCUUAGGGAUAACAGCGUAAUAUUUUUUUAUAGAUCACAUAGAAAAAAAUGAUUGCGACCUCGAUGUUGAAUUAAGAUAAAUUUUAAAUGUAGAAGUUUAAUAAUUAAGUCUGUUCGACUUUUAAAAUCUUACAUGAUUUGAGUUCAAAUCGACGUAAGUCAGAUUGGUUUCUAUCUAUAAAUAUAUUUAAUUUAUUUGUACGAAAGGACUAUAAUUUAUAAAUUAUUUAUUUAUUUUAAUUAAUUAAUAUUUAU